GCUGGCGGCGUGCUUAACACAUGCAAGUACGGGGGGUAGCAAUACCAACCGGCGAACGGGUGCGUAACACGUGAGCAACCUACCGAUUUGCGGGGGAUAGCUGGCCUAACGGCCAGGUAAUACCGCAUACGCUUUCCGGGUCUCAUGACCUGGCAAGGAAACCUCCGGGGCAAAUCGAGGGGCUCGCGGCCUAUCAGCUAGUUGGCGGGGUAAUGGCCCACCAAGGCAGCGACGGGUAGCUGGUCUGAGAGGAUGGCCAGCCACAUUGGGACUGAGAAACGGCCCAGACUCCUACGGGAGGCAGCAGUGGGGAAUCUUGCGCAAUGGACGAAAGUCUGACGCAGCGACGCCGCGUGGGGGAUGACGGGUUUCGGCUUGUAAACCCCUGUUGCCCGGGACGAACUUCUCCUUUCGAGGAGAUUGACGGUACCGGGUGAGGAAGCACCGGCUAACUCCGUGCCAGCAGCCGCGGUAAUACGGAGGGUGCGAGCGUUGUCCGGAAUCACUGGGCGUAAAGGGCGCGUAGGUGGCGACUCAAGUCAACGGUGAAAGCUCGACGCUUAACGUCGAGUCGGCCGUCGAAACUGGGACGCUUGAGCACUGUAGAGGCAGAUGGAAUUCCGGGUGUAGCGGUGGAAUGCGUAGAGAUCCGGAAGAACACCGGUGGCGAA
rnacentral:rRNA from 1 species